rnacentral:lncRNA from 1 species
UCUAUCUCUCUAACAGAUGCUCUCCCUUCUCUCUAGGACAUUCUGGUUUCUUCUUCUUCUUCUUUGAUGAAGUCCAUCGCCUCUCCGGCUCUACUCAUCCCUCACUUCUCUCGACCUCGAGUAGCCAUGGAAUUCUUGUAUCGUUGUUUUCUCUCUAAAGCUUGAAGCCCAACAGCUUCCGCCAUAUAAGACGGUCACUGAAGCUUCACUUGGGUCUAUUUCCGACUUUUCUCCGAUGGCUUUUUUCCGAUGAUGCCUUAUAUUGCAUUAUAUAUGAGUUUCACGGCCAGGUUUCUCAUUUCCCUAAUUUAUUUUGCAAACCCUAAUUUUUUUUGCAAACCCUAAUUUUUUUUGCC